UUGGACAAGUUUGCAGCAGUGAUAGUGGUGAUUUGAUAUAAUUACUCUAUACAGGUCACAGAGCCAAAGGGAAAGAAAGGAAAUAGAGAGAGAGAGAGAGAGAGAGAGAGAGAGAGAGAGAGAGAGAGAGAGAGAUGGAAAAAAAUGAGAGAGAUAAAGUGAAAAAGCCGCUAAUAAUUAUAGGAUAAGUCAUUACCCAUUUUACUCAGCAUACAAUAUGACAAAAUAAAAACAAGACAUGUGUUCAUAUUUAAGUUUUAUAACUAUUCUCUUAUCUUAUUAAUCAUGUGAACAAACAGACCCCUUCAUAUUUUCUCCAACAAAUCUGCACAACGUCCAUGUCAUGGCAACCAUGGGUUCUCUUCUCCGGCGACCCACAUCUCUAUUCUCUUUCUUCUACAACAAAUGCGACUCGUCAUCCUCUAUGGUGGACGACGGAGAUUAAUGAGACGAUUAAGUAAACCAUUGUAAACAAAGAAGAAGGCGUAUAAGACGAUAGCAUUGAACCAGGAUUCGAAAUCUUCGUCGUCCUGGUCAUUGAUGGUGGAAUGAGGCCACGAUUUGAGACACCGAGCCAUGGCUUUGGCAGCGAGGAUUUGAUUUUUCUACCACCAUUACAUCAGACUCACAGCCUUCGGUAGGCCUGCUUCCUCUUUUGGUUUGAAGAAAAAUUAUUGGACAAUGUGAGGAAGAAAGAAAAAGGUGUUUGGUUGGUGGAAUAGUAGAACUGUUAUGUUUAGUUAAGGAGUUAAUGACAAAUAUUAUUAUAUUAUUGGGCCGCCCAACAUAGAGAGUAUAAUGGGUACUCACCAGUGAGUAAUCAAGUAUUGUCCAUUGUUAUAUGGGUAUCCAUUACCAAGAGGGAUGAACAUGGGUAAAUCCACAUAUGAGAUGGAUUUGAGUAGACCCACUGAGAGAAACACAUUGUGUGUGCUUUCUUCAAGAACAUUUUGAAGUGUUUUUCUAUUUUCUAAGAAACACUUGUAUUUUUAUUAAACGUUUCCAUGUUCUUCUAAAAUAAGCGUUUUUAUUGAAGUUGCUUUUUUGAGCAUAAGUGUAUUUCAAAAACACAGUUCCAAAUGAGUCCUUAAUCGUGUUCCUUUGCUUAUGAGUUUUCCUAAAAGAUUUAGGACCAACAUUUUCUUUAAAUUUUGUUUAGUAAAACAAUAAGCAAAUAUAAAUGAAAUAUAAAAGAGGGAUAAACGACACCAUAUCUCGACCAGCCAUGUACACUAAACACCAAAUUUUAAUGUCGUAUCCCUUACCUGUCAUAUAAGCUCCACACCCCCCCCCCCCCCCCAAAAAAGAUAGAAUGUGCCACGCCUCAAUCUCACACAGAACACGUCACCAAUCAAACUGAACAAAUUGUAGCACACCCAACCGCUACUCCCGCCUUACAAACACAAAAUGUAUUCAAGACGAGAAAUUUUUGCGUAUCUCAAAAACACAUGAGAUCCCAUGUAUUAAUUUAUAUAAAUGGACGGCAUAAAUAAUAUGCCUGACUUCUAAUGUAGGUUGAUGAAAACACAACUAUGUUAUGAUCUGAUCUAAAUAUUACAUGUGAGGUCACAAUAUUUUGAUGUACAAAGUGAGGUUACAAAUAUUGGAGUACUUUUUUUGGGUAACAAUAUUGAAGUAUUUUGUUAGAGCGUUUCGAUCCAAUAUAACGAAUGUCUAAUUUUCUUUAACAAGCGUUGGAUUGUAUGGAAGGGCUUUUGGUAACGACGUAUUCAAUACUUUGAAUCUGAACUAUCGUAAAUUUUCAAAUAACAUCAUAAAUCGAUCAUGUUUUGAAGUAUUUUAGAUUAAAAAUAAUAACGUUAUGCAACGGUGUUACAAUCAACACUUUGAUACCUACAUUGAAGAAACUCAGCUGUAACCCAAUCUCUGCUCACUCACACCUUUCUCCACUCACAUGUGAACCUUGGCCCCACUUGCUCUUCAUCUGACCCCCAAAAC
rnacentral:lncRNA from 1 species